rnacentral:rRNA from 1 species
CGGGACACGUGGUAUCCUGUCUGAAUAUGGGGGGACCAUCCUCCAAGGCUAAAUACUCCUGACUGACCGAUAGUGAACCAGUACCGUGAGGGAAAGGCGAAAAGAACCCCGGCGAGGGGAGUGAAAAAGAACCUGAAACCGUGUACGUACAAGCAGUGGGAGCACGCUUAGGCGUGUGACUGCGUACCUUUUGUAUAAUGGGUCAGCGACUUAUAUUCUGUAGCAAGGUUAACCGAAUAGGGGAGCCGAAGGGAAACCGAGUCUUAACUGGGCGUUAAGUUGCAGGGUAUAGACCCGAAACCCGGUGAUCUAGCCAUGGGCAGGUUGAAGGUUGGGUAACACUAACUGGAGGACCGAACCGACUAAUGUUGAAAAAUUAGCGGAUGACUUGUGGCUGGGGGUGAAAGGCCAAUCAAACCGGGAGAUAGCUGGUUCUCCCCGAAAGCUAUUUAGGUAGCGCCUCGUGAAUUCAUCUCCGGGGGUAGAGCACUGUUUCGGCAAGGGGGUCAUCCCGACUUACCAACCCGAUGCAAACUGCGAAUACCGGAGAAUGUUAUCACGGGAGACACACGGCGGGUGCUAACGUCCGUCGUGAAGAGGGAAACAACCCAGACCGCCAGCUAAGGUCCCAAAGUCAUGGUUAAGUGGGAAACGAUGUGGGAAGGCCCAGACAGCCAGGAUGUUGGCUUAGAAGCAGCCAUCAUUUAAAGAAAGCGUAAUAGCUCACUGGUCGAGUCGGCCUGCGCGGAAGAUGUAACGGGGCUAAACCAUGCACCGAAGCUGCGGCAGCGACGCUGAUGCGUUGUUGGGUAGGGGAGCGUUCUGUAAGCCUGUGAAGGUGUGCUGUGAGGCAUGCUGGAGGUAUCAGAAGUGCGAAUGCUGACAUAAGUAACGAUAAAGCGGGUGAAAAGCCCGCUCGCCGGAAGACCAAGGGUUCCUGUCCAACGUUAAUCGGGGCAGGGUGAGUCGACCCCUAAGGCGAGGCCGAAAGGCGUAGUCGAUGGGAAACAGGUUAAUAUUCCUGUACUUGGUGUUACUGCGAAGGGGGGACGGAGAAGGCUAUGUUGGCCGGGCGACGGUUGUCCCGGUUUAAGCGUGUAGGCUGGUUUUCCAGGCAAAUCCGGAAAAUCAAGGCUGAGGCGUGAUGACGAGGCACUACGGUGCUGAAGCAACAAAUGCCCUGCUUCCAGGAAAAGCCUCUAAGCAUCAGGUAACAUCAAAUC